rnacentral:lncRNA from 1 species
CAUUCACAUGCAACUCCAGCAAACUCAAAAUAAAAUAACUUAGUAAUACAAUUUACUUUUACUAAUUCACUAAUAAUGACAGAGAGCAAAUAUUCAAACAAAUUGAGAUGAGAGCCUCUCUCUCUCUCUUAUACAAACACACGCACAUCUUUUGGAAAUCGCUUGGUAUAUGAAAAUUCAUUGGAAAUUACAAGCAUGUCAGCAUUUUUAAGACACAAUUGCGGAUUCUUAAGAUCAAAUCAAGGUCUGUCAGAAGCAUUUGUUAUGGACAAUGGGAAGUUAUACAACCUAAAUUAUCAUGAUUCAACACUAUCUCCCCCCGUGUUAGAAGGAAAAACACUAUCUGCACCCAAUAUGAGCACCAACGUUGCAAAAGACUUUUGAACAUUCACUUUUCCCUUAAAUUUUCUUCAAGCAAAUACACAAGUUUUACACUCCGUUAAAAUAGAUGGUAAUUAUUAAGAUAAGGUAAAAAAAAAUCAGCACAUAGCAGAUUAAACAAUUUGCUACAAGACUAGAUAUAAGUCAGGUGUAUAUGAAAUCAAAAGGAUUUUUGAUGAUAAAUUAAUGUUUGUAAUAUCAUAUAAAC